CAGCAAGUCAGAUCCGUUAAAAAUCGACAUCAUGAUUAUAGGCAUCCAUGUACCAAAUUUACAGCUGAAAAUCUCGGAAGCCACGCCUGGAUACAAGCAUAACGUUACAAAAUAAACCAAACAAAUUGAUAUCAUAAUUAAUUGAUAUAAUUACGUUUAAUGGACCUUCGUCCACCACUAAUACUCGGAGUGCGUCCCUUGAUAACAAUAUCUUCCACCUUGAAGGUUGGAGCUUGUCCACUUGGUUCGUAAACUGGAUUGUUGAAACUUAAGCACGCGUUGGGCGGUGGACUGUUCUGAAUUUUCAACAUGCCAUACUGUAAUUCGUAUUUUCUACUUACCAGUCCUGCAUCUUCAGCUGGUUCUAAUACUAUCCUGGUUUUGGCUCGCUCAUGCAGUGCUAAAUAGAACUGAAUAAAAUCUGUCUUUCGCACAAGAUGGUAGACAAUAUAGCAGAAAAUUAUUGUGCCCAUUGACACAAUGAAGAAAGCUUCGGUACUGCGCCGAAUGUCCGGCACUAUAUAUUUGGUCAACACUCGCACACCGGAAGUGAAUACACCAGAUACACCUAAAAAUUAAUUUUAGUUUAAUUACAGAAUUACAAAAUGCUGAUUGGAAAGUAAUUACUUUCUCCCACCAUUACUGCCUGGGUAUAACGUGCGGGAAGCAUACUCGUAUAUCCAUAAUAACUUGAUUGUUGCACUGAAAUGGAAACAAGAAAAUGAUUCAGAAGGAAAUAUUUCAUUUGAAUUAAUUAACAUAUUAUAAUACGUUUGUUAUAUGUUUUUUACCUGUACAUCCAACUGCGACGACAGCCACUGAUCCCAUGUUAACAGCGUAACCCAAAUUUCGACUCAAAAUAGCUGAUUUAACUUCCACAACGGCGACAAACAACAAUGUUAAAAAUGAUAACAUGUAACCUGAAAGGUAAUUCUGCUGGUCAAACUGCACGUUUCAACAAGCAAAUUGUUACCCAGCACUGUGAAAAACGCAAGUACAAUAUAGAUUAAGGACAUGUCAAAAACGACCUGCGUUGACGGAAAUUCCAUCUUAAAAUAAUCCAUAGCCAUAAUAAAUCUAUAAUGCAUAAUGAAUAUUUUAUUAAAAUGUUUGUUUAUUUUUUA